GAUGAACGCUGGCGGCGUGCCUAACACAUGCAAGUCGAGCGGAAAGACGAGGAGCUUGUGCCUUUGACGUUAGCGGCGGACGGGUGAGUAACACGUGGAUCACCUACUUAUAUUACGGGGAUAAUUACGGAAAACCGGAGAUAAUACCGGAGAAUAUAUUGAACCGCAGGGUGCAAUAGUGAAUGACGGUUUUGGUGUCUGUAAUAGACGGUUCCGCGCCGGAUUAGCGGGUGGGUAAGGUACCGGCUUACCAAGGCAACGAUGCGUAGCCGACCUGAGAGGGGGUUCGGCGACACUGGAACUGAGACACGGUCCAGACUCCUACGGGAGGCAGCAGUAGGGAAUCUUCCGCAAUGGGCGCAAGCCUGACGGAGCAACGCCGCGUGAGUGAUGAAGGUCUUCGGAUCGUAAAACUCUGUUAUUAGGGAAGAACAAAUGUGUAAGUAACUAUGCACGUCUUGACGGUACCUAAUCAGAAAGCCACGGCUAACUACGUG
rnacentral:rRNA from 1 species